UUCGCGUCGGGCCUCCUGGCGGGCGGCGCGCUUCUGGUGCGCCACAUGAAACGGCGUUAGGACCCGUCGGUGCGGUC
rnacentral:tRNA from 1 species